rnacentral:rRNA from 1 species
GACGAACGCUGGCGGCGUGCUUAACACAUGCAAGUCGAACGGAAAGGCCCUGCUUUUGUGGGGUUCUCGAGUGGGGAACGGGUGAGUAACACGUGAGUAACCUUCCCUUGACUUUGUGAUAACUUCAGGAAACUGGGGCUAAUACCUGAUAGGAGCUCCUGCUGCAUGGGGGGGGUUGGAAAGUUUAGGCUGUUGGAGAUCGACUCGCGGCUUAUGAGUUGGUGGGGCGAGUAGUUGCCUACCAAGGCUUUGGCGGGUAGCCGGCAUGGGAGGGUGACCGGGCACCAUGCGCCUAAGGGAGGGAGCAGUCUGCAACGUGGGACAGUAGGGGAAAAUAUUGCCCAAUGAGCGCACGCCUGAGAAAGAAACGCCGCGUUCGGGAUGACGGCCUACGGGUUGUAAACCGCUUUCGCCUGUGACGAAGCGUGAGUGACGGUACUGGGUAAAGAAGCACCGGCUAACUACGUG